CGACCCCGCCUGCGUCCACACGGGGACCAGGAGCCCGGCCCGCUUAAUGGCCACCUUUCGGCUUAGUGAACCAGGACUCCAGGCGGCGACCAACGCAAACCCUAAAGGAAGGGGUACUCCUCUAGUGGCCUUUGCUCUCCGCAUCAUUGGGUGCGUUCCCGAACGUGGCGCAGGCUUAAGCGCGAGGGAAGCCACGGCCACCGCCCCCAACACAAAGAGACGGGUCCUCACACGUACUUCCGUGCUACACAAGAACCCCUCAAGGGGGAGCUGAGGAAACGAGGGGCAGGGGACAAGCCAGGUGCUCAGACGCAACUUUACUUCAAAGCGUCUGGCACAAGCAAUGGGGGGAAAAGGGUACCGUAGGGAGGACGCGGUGCGCAGGCGCGGGGAACCAAGACCUGAGAGUUUGGAGCUGCCCCUCCCCCCUUCCUCAAAAGCCAGGGAAGUUGCCCCACUGCGCCUGCGCGACAAUGUUCGGGGGAGGGGAGAGCGGGCCAGUUCCCUGCGUUGAGAGAACCGCCCCCUCAGGUGAGCGAGCGCGCGAGUGCGCGCACGUACCACUCUCAAACUCCCUCGCGCGGCCUUUUGCGCCCGCCCUAUCGCGCGUGCGCCGGGAAGGAGGCGGCUGCGGCCGAAUUUGCGGCUUUUUUCUGAGUUUCUCUUGAGAAGUUUCUGGAAAGACGAAGCCUAAAGGAAGCUGGGGGAUGGGAAGAGCGGGGAAGCCGCAUUUGAGAGAAGAAAGCGAAAUAUCCAAAGCAGACGGCCAUCGCUCUGCCUCCCAACUCUCAAGCCACGGCCAAGGAGAGCCCGAGACCCUCACAUCCAGGGGAAAAGCAUGAGGACCGCACAGCUGCUGCUUCCUCUGGCCGUGACUAGAACCCUCGCCUCCGGGGCAGGGAAAGGGAAGGGGUGUCCGGGAACACCCGGAGCGGCCCGGGACGUUUGCGCGGUGGAGCGGGCGCCAGUGGCCCGGAGAUCUGGGCCCCGCCUGCAGUGGGCGUGGCUGCCGAGCUGCGGUUUAGGGGCGCCAGACUCCCGUUUUCCGUAGCCUCUCUUUGGUGGCUCUGUGUUUUCCCCUCCACCCGCCUCCACUUCGGUGGCGUGGAGCUAAUGCAGCGAGUGCGGAGAAGCCGCUCUACGUGGCCGCGGUGGGGCGGGGGCGCCGGCGCCUGGCUGCCAUUUUGUGGCUCGGCCGCCAUUUCGCGCCGCGCGGGUGGCGGGGCGCAGGCGCGGCACCUUUGUUCUUGGGACGCUGCCUGGCUGGGCGCGCGCUUCCCCGCGGCCUGGGAACCUGUACCAAAGAUCCCACGCCCUCCUCGCUCGUGGACAACAUAACGGCCCGGCCGCCGUGGGAAAAAGACGCCUUGCCGGGGAGGGUUAACGCAGCGUGGAAAGCCGCUCUCUGGAACCUCGGGCCUGAGGGAGGAGCAAAGCGUGGGCCCUUGUGGCGCUCUGUAAAGAGUAGGGCAGAGCAAGCAGCUGCGGGAGCCCUAAUAAAGGUGUUAAAGCCCUCGUAAUCGGGAGACCCGAUCGCUUUACAAAAGAAAAACACCCGAAGUAGCGCCUGAAGUGCUGCCAGGCGGUGGAGAACAGAGCUCACGUCUCAUUGGCUGGCUCGCUCGCUCUCUCUGCGCAAUUGCGUUCGGACGAGGGGAUUGAACUCAGGUCCUUGUGCUUCCGCAGCAGGUGGUGAAACCACUGAGCUAAAUCCCCGGCCCUCCAAUAUGUUAAUAUGAGAGUCGCCCUGACCACCGCUGCCUUCCCUCUCAAGGCUACAGAUUCCACUUUCCCGACCACAACCUGCACAGACGAGCACCAAGAGGAGCAGGAUAAGGCAGAAAAGGAC
ensembl:lncRNA